ACUUUAAUAGCUUAAUUUAGAGCUUUAUAUUGAAGAUAUAAGGGUGGGUUUGUUCCUUGAAGUA
rnacentral:tRNA from 1 species